GGUUGUAUAGUGUAGUUGGUUAUCACUUCGGAUUCUGAUGUCUCAUGGUCCUACUGGGAUUUGAGCGGGAUUUCCGGCGACCUGGGUUCGAAUCCCAGUACGACCU